UGGUGUCACAGGCAGACGCUCCCCGUCCCCGGAAUAUUGAGACCUCGUUCCUGCCUGCCUGAUCCUCAACGGUACUUCUGUCUAACUCCACGUAAUCCCGGCUUUCGACCACCCGCCUGUACUCCGGAUACGACCACGCCUGACCCCCUGACGGUGCCUCUGUUUAUCCCCGCUCUCCUGGCUUUCGACCCUCUGCCCGCCUACUGGACUCGACCACGCCUAACCCUUGUCUGUACUUCCACAAUAAAGCUGCGCUCUGCGCUUGGGUUUCA